GAUGAACGCUGGCGGCGUGCCUAAUACAUGCAAGUCGAGCGAACAGACGAGGAGCUUGCUCCUCUGACGUUAGCGGCGGACGGGUGAGUAACACGUGGAUAACCUACCUAUAAGACUGGGAUAACUUCGGGAAACCGGAGCUAAUACCGGAUAAUAUAUUGAACCGCAUGGUUCAAUAGUGAAAGACGGUUUUGCUGUCACUUAUAGAUGGAUCCGCGCCGCAUUAGCUAGUUGGUAAGGUAACGGCUUACCAAGGCAACGAUGCGUAGCCGACCUGAGAGGGUGAUCGGCCACACUGGAACUGAGACACGGUCCAGACUCCUACGGGAGGCAGCAGUAGGGAAUCUUCCGCGAUGGGCGAAAGCCUGACGGAGCAACGCCGCGUGAGUGAUGAAGGUCUUCGGAUCGUAAAACUCUGUUAUUAGGGAAGAACAAAUGUGUAAGUAACUAUGUACGUCUUGACGGUACCUAAUCAGAAAGCCACGGCUAACUACGUG
rnacentral:rRNA from 1 species